rnacentral:rRNA from 1 species
UACGAAGGGGGCUAGCGUUGUUCGGAAUCACUGGGCGUAAAGGGCGCGUAGGCGGCUUUAUAAGUCGGGGGUGAAAGCCUGUGGCUCAACUCACAAGAUUGCCUUCGAUACUGUAGAGCUUGAGACCGGAAGAGGUAAGUGGAACUGCGAGUGUAGAGGUGAAAUUCGUAGAUAUUCGCAAGAACACCAGUGGCGAAGGCGGCUUACUGGUCCGGUUCUGACGCUGAGGCGCGAAAGCGUGGGGAGCAAACAGGG